rnacentral:lncRNA from 1 species
GUACAGGCUGACUGGGUGGAUGGAACUGUACAGGCUGAUGACUGGGUGGAUGGAACUGUACAGGCUGAUGACUGGGUGGAUGGAACUGUACAGGGUGGAUGGAACUGUACAGGGUGGAUGGAACUGUACAGGGUGGAUGACUGGGUGGAUGGAACUGUACAGGCUGAUGACGGUGGAUGGAACUGUACAGGGUGGAUGACUGGGUGGAUGGAACUGUACAGGCGGAUGACGGUGGAUGGAACUGUACAGGCGGAUGACGGUGGAUGGAACUGUACAGGGCGGAUGACUGGGUGGAUGGAACUGUACAGGGUGAUGACUGGGUGGAUGGAACUGUACAGGGUGAUGACUGGGUGGAUGGAACUGUACAGGC